GACAGAGGGUGCAACCGUUGUUCGGAAUUACUGGGCGUAAAGCGCGUGUAGGCUGCUUCGCAAGUCGGGUGUGAAAGCCCUGGGCUCAACCUAGGAAGUGCACUCGAAACUGCGAAGCUGGAGUCCUGGAGAGGAAGGCGGAAUUCUCGGUGUAGAGGUGAAAUUCGUAGAUAUCGAGAGGAACACCGGUGGCGAAGGCGGCCUUCUGGACAGUGACUGACGCUGAGACGCGAAAGCGUGGGGAGCGAACAGG
rnacentral:rRNA from 1 species